CCCCCCCGGGCAGCGGUCUCUUCUGCAGCCCCACCACUCCGCGGGCUGAGAAGAAAAGCUGCGUCCCUGAGGGCAGAGGCAGCUUCUUUUAUCUGCAGUUGGGUUUCUUUGGAAUAAUUCAGAUACCUCUAACUUAAAUGCAGUCAUCCUGGAGCCCACCCAACAAGGUGGAGGCAUCUUGCAAGAGGUUUCUCACCUAGAAUCACAGAAUAUCCCGGCAAGAAGGUACCUUGGGGCACCAACAAAUCCAGAUGAUUGAGAACCUUGAGGGAACUAAUUUACCGUAUUCCCCCAUGUAUAAGACGCACCCUUUUUCGAAAAAUUUGGGGUCUAAAACCUGGGUGCAUCUUAUACAGUG